rnacentral:rRNA from 1 species
GCCUACGGGGGGCAGCAGUGAGGAAUAUUGGUCAAUGGCCGGAAGGCUGAACCAGCCAAGCCGCGUGAAGGACGAAGGUGCCAAGCAUUGUAAACUUCUUUUGUCAAGGGACAAAAUCAGGCUCGAGAGCCUGACCGAGGGUACUUGAAGAAAAAGCAUCGGCUAACUCCGUGCCAGCAGCCGCGGUAAUACGGAGGAUGCGAGCGUUAUCCGGAUUUAUUGGGUUUAAAGGGUGCGUAGGCGGGCUGUUAAGUCAGCGGUAAAAGCCCGGGGCUCAACCCCGGCUGGCCGUUGAAACUGGCUGU